UACGUAGGGGGCGAGCGUUGUCCGGAUUUAUUGGGCGUAAAGAGCUCGUAGGCGGUUUGGCAAGUCGGGUGUGAAAACCCGAGGCUUAACCUCGGGCUGGCGGUGGAUACGGGCAGACUAGAGGUAGGUAGGGGAGAAUGGAAUUCCCGGUGUAGCGGUGAAAUGCGCAGAUAUCGGGAGGAACACCGGUGGCGAAGGCGGUUCUCUGGGCCUUACCUGACGCUGAGGAGCGAAAGCGUGGGGAGCAAACAGG
rnacentral:rRNA from 1 species